UCCAGCCCCCAAAUUUGAACUGGAGGGAGGGGAAGUUACGGCACUGACUCUUGUGUUGUGCUCUUCUGUGUCUGUUUGGCUCCCACCCUGCGUGGCUCCUUCUACACCUUUGGCUCUACGGUUGAAAAGGUGAACGCGGAUUACCCUGGAAAGGAUGGACGGCAUUGACAAGAAGCCACGUGAGAUGACUGGAGAAGAGAAGAACAAGUAUGGGGCCCUUUGUUGCCAUGCUGAGAGAGACGGAUCGGGGGUUGAUUGAAAUAUGCACCCACAAGAUUUGUGGCACAAAGCACGAAGUCGUCAUUCAAAUGGCGAGUUUGGCGCCGUGUUCCUGCAAAGCGUCUUUUAACACCUGACAGACAAUGAAUGUGAGGUCAUUCGCAGGGUGGUGCGGUAUUGGGUCUCGAAUUCCUCUCGACAUGCAUCAUCAGGUUAGAACGGUUGCAGGAGGAACAGGGAGUGGUAACCGUCGUUUUUGCUGUGCAAUCCGAUCUGUUGAACACGGAGGGGAGGAAAGAUAAAAGGAAACA